UCCAUCCUUAGCUCUGUGCCUGUGGCACAGUGGUGUGGGCUUCAGGGCUGAUGUCUGGGUGAUUCUUCUGUAGACCUUGGGACUCUCCUCCAACUUCUCUGGGCUGCAACUCACUAACAUUCAGUGGUUGCAUGGAGUAGUGUCGAUCUUCACUGAAGUCAGACUCAUUCAAACGAGCAAAGGUCUUCUGAACACUCCCUAUGCAUGCCUCUGAUGUGUGAAAAGGUUGGAGUGACUAUGCAUGACUCUGAUGUGUGAAAAGGGGGCCCUGAUGCUUGUGUAAUUAUCUUUACUGUUAUUACUCACAAUCACUAUUCUGUGUACUCCUGCAAAAGGUUUUAAACACCGAAAGAGCAUGUUUUCAAUAGUGUGAGCACAGAAAACCAAAACAAAUGAGAGGAAACUUCCUGUUGCCAGUGCCCUGCAGAGAAGGCUUUCAAUGGAGAGAUGUUGGCACCAGGCCCAUAUGUCCCCUCGGGAAGAGGGGCUUCUCAGCUCUAAGAUGCUGUCGCCGUGGACAUUCUCUUAGGUCCUCAUCUGAAGGGGACUGUUUUGAAAAUCAGAUCUAUGAACUUGUGGCAAAUCUGCAAACGACACUGUGUCCUGUUCUCUGUCUCUAAGGCCAACCAAGUACAAAGGAUAGAUAUCCACAAAGAACAGGGGGGCUGGGAAGCAGGGAUUCUGACACCUGCUCUGGUGUGGGGUUUUCCAAUGCCACCAAGCAGCUCUGGGACACCAGCUGGGCGUCCUGCAUUUAACUUAGCUCUGAUGCUGUCUACCUGGAAACAGCCCUUACUCAGGGAUUGGACAGAGCCAAGGGAAGUCCAAUAUCCACAUCAUUACACAACUGCCAUUAUAGCCAAAGUCCUGCAUGAUGAAUAGUCUUCAUACUGAGGCCCAUCAAAGGGGCAGAGCCUGAGAGCCAUUUGGAGCCCAUGUGUGGAGGCCUUUUACGGGUGUAUGGAGAUGUGGAGGCUGCUUCGGGGAGAUUGGAAGGCUGGUGUUUUCCUGACUGCCAGAAUAUUGAACAAUUUUCCCUUUUCAUUAAAGCACUGAC